AAGCUAGUAGUAAAUUAUAUUUGGAAGAAAAGAUGUGGGAAAAUAAAACUGUUAGAUUCCUUUGCUCUUGUGCUUGAUCACAGGCUCUAUUGUGUUAGGGAAGGCCAAGAAGAUUGUGAGGGUGCAGGUUCAAUAGAGUGAAUUCUCGAUAGGUUGGUCCAGUUACUAAUAAGGUUAUUAUAUUAAAAAUUCAGAUUUAUACAAAAUAUAAUGAUUAAUGAAAAGGGGAUUACUUAUAAAAAGACUUGAGACAUUUAUGGGCUGUAGAUAACACAGGCCUAGCACAGUUCUCAAGUAGGUGCCCGUUGGCGUUCAGCCACCCGAGAUUGAGCAAUAACAGGUCUGUGAUCCCUUAGAUGUCCAGGGCUGCACGCAUGCUAUACUGACUGGCUCAGCGUGUGCCUACCCUGAGCCGGCAAGGCGCGGGUAACCUGUUGAACCCCAUUCGUGAUGGGGAUCGGGGAUUGCAAUUAUUCCCCAUGAACAAGGAAUUCCCAGUAAGUGCGGGUCAUAAGCUUGCGUUGGUUAAGUCCCUGCCCUUUGUACACUAGUUAUGCGACCCCUAAGCAGUCGGCAUCCUCCAGCUUCUUAGAGGGACAAGUGGCGUUCAAGCCACCCGAGAUUGAGCAGUAAUAGGUCUGUGAUGCCCUUAGAUGUCAAGUAGGUGCCGGUAAGGUGUAUGUUGAAUAAUACUGAAAUAUUUAAAACUUGAGACUCUCUGGAAUAGAAAUAUUGGCCCUCGGCCUCCCCGAGUCCUGGGCUGGCAGGCAUCGGGGGCUGAGCGGCACCGUCCGCUCUGAGGUUUCGCGGCCGAGGUCCCCGCUGCCGUCUACAGUCUGUUCUAGAGAGAAAGAGAGAAGACGAUGGUAGGCCAGAACAGCGCCAUCGCCGCCGGGGUAUGCGGGGCCCUUUUCAUCCGGUACUGCAUUGACUUCGACCGCAAGAGACAGGAGUGACCCUAUUUUCAAGGACAGGCUUCGAGAACGAAGAAAGAAACAGAAGCUUGCCAAGGAGAGAGCUGGACUUUCCAAGUUACCUGACCUUAAAGAUGUUGAAGCUGCUCAGAAAUUCUUCCUUGAAGAAAUACAGCUUGGUGAAGAGCUACUAGCUCAAGGUGAAUAUGAGAAGGGCGUGGACCGCCUGACAAACGCGAUCGCUGUGUGUGGACAGCCCCAGUAGUUACUGCAGGUACUUGCGGCAGACUCUGCCAGCACCAGUGUUCCAGAUGCUUCUGAGUAAGCUCCCGACAAUUAGUCAGAGAAUUGUAAGUGCUCAGAGCUUGGCUGAAGAUGAUGUGGAAUAAGAAACAUUCAACAUAAUAAAAUCUCAGUUUAAAAUAUUUUAAAAAUUCUUAACUCGGAAGUUGAGCAGCUCUGGGGUAAUAAGGGCAAAUAUGCUUGUUACCGACUGUCCUACACUGAAAUCUACAAAGUUAAUGUUUACUUUGUGUAGAUCCAUUUGUCUGAUUUAUUUAUUUUUCCCAGUGAAAAGUGUAUUUUGAUAGAGAGCUUUUCAUUUUACACUACGAGUUACUGAAAUACCAUAGGUUUUGUUUAUUUCUAAAAUAUGCAAUUAAAAUGUACGUAAAUAUAACAUAACUUACGUUCACAAUACCUGGUGCUCAGUUUUGAAAGAGGCAAAAAAAGUGUAAGAGAGAACUAAAGAUGCGCAUUUUUAAAGCCAGUAUAUUUUGUUAUAAAUCAGAAAAUUAUAUAGAAACAUUGUGAAAACUGAGCAUUAAAGUUUUUGAGCGAUCUUAUUCUUUCCAUUUAAUCUCUCAAACACAAAUUUGUGAGGUGUGCUGCUGUGCUGUGUUAACAGCCCCCCACCCUCCACCCCCAUGUAUCAGUCCUCGCAAUGCUUUGUUUAAAUCAGUGGUCUUGAUGUGUUCUGGGUAUUUCUCUCCUUGUAUUUUAAAUAUAUGUAGUUGUAAAUGGCAUCACAGGAAUUAGAUCUAUGUACACUCCUACUCUGGCCAUGUGGGCUUUGCUAGUUCUCAUCUGCUCACUUCGCUCACUUCAUUCACUGAGGAGAUCGGGUUGCUGAUCUCUGAAGCAGUCUUUCAGCUUCUCAUUCAUUUGGUGUUCAGUUCAGCAUCUUUAAAUCCACCUUCACGUGAGUGUAUGUGGACAACCAGGCCUUGCGUUUUUAUAUUCUGAAUUUUGCAUGCUUGCCUGACUUGUAGUUCCGAAUUGACCUGUUUGGUGUAUGGUUUUGUCACUGCUCUGUGAAUUAAUAAGAAACUUAACAUUUAUGGUAACUGGGAUGAUUU